rnacentral:misc_RNA from 1 species
GGAUUUUAUUAUUACUAAAUCUAUAUUUGAGAUUUUGUAUUACAAAUUAAAAUUUAGUGAUAAUGUUGUUAUAGUGCCUUAAGUUCAGAAAUAACAUGUUAGAUUUAUCCUAUGAUCAUAUGGCAAAAUUUGCUUUUACAAACUUCGAUGUCUAACAGCUCUCUUGCACACAGCAACAUCCACCCGUACACCAACAGGCAUAUAUAGAACUGAACAUCCCGUAAAAGGUAAUCUUAGCUCAUGA